rnacentral:ncRNA from 1 species
CAAAAGCUUGGUCCUGGCUUUACUGUCGUCUUUAACUUAAUUUACACAUGCAAGUAUCCGCGCCCCCGUGAGGAUGCCCUGACAGUUCCCUUCUCGGGAACAAGGAGCUGGUAUCAGGCACAAUUUUCUGCUCUUUGAGCCCCCCCCCCCUUUUUGGUCGCCCAAAACACCUUGCUUUGCCACACCCUCAAGGGUACUCAGCAGUGAUAGAUAUUAAGCCAUGAGCGCAAGCUUGACUUAGUUAGAGUUUAGAGGGCCGGUAAAAUUCGUGCCAGCCACCGCGGUUACACGAAAGGCCCAAGUUGACAGCCAUCGGCGUAAAGCGUGGUUAGGGUCCUACCAAGAACUAAAGUCGAACUCCUUCAAGACCGUUUAACGUGUUCGAAACGGAGAAGCACAGCUACGAAAGUGACUUUACACACCUGACUCCACGAAAGCUAAGGCACAAACUGGGAUUAGAUACCCCACUAUGCUUAGCCCUAAAUACAGAUAGAAUCAUACCGUUUUAUCCGCCCGGGUACUACGAGCAUUAGCUUGAAACCCAAAGGACUUGGCGGUGCUUCAGACCCAUCUAGAGGAGCCUGUUCUAGAACCGAUAAUCCCCGUUAAACCUCACCCCUCUUUGUUUUCACCGCCUAUAUACCGCCGUCGUAAGCCUAUCCCGUGAGGGCCUCGUAAUUAGCUUAAUUGGCACAGCCCAAAACGUCAGGUCGAGGUGUAGCUUAUGGAGGGGGCAAGAAAUGGGCUACAUUCCCUCCCUCAGGGAACACGAAUAACGCACUGAAACACACGUUCGAAGGUGGAUUUAGUAGUAAGCAGUAAAUAGAGUGUUCUGCUGAAACUGGCUCUGAAGCGCGCACACACCGCCCGUCACUCUCCCCAAACGCAUCCCCCAAUUGUAUCCUUAGAUAAAAACCCGCCUCUGCAAAGGGGAGGCAAGUCGUAACAUGGUAAGUGUACCGGAAGGUGUACUUGGAAUAAC